AUUGAACGCUGGCGGCAGGCUUAACACAUGCAAGUCGAGCGGGGUGAUGGUGCUUGCACUAUCACUUAGCGGCGGACGGGUGAGUAAUGCCUAGGAAUCUGCCUGGUAGUGGGGGACAACGUUUCGAAAGGAACGCUAAUACCGCAUACGUCCUACGGGAGAAAGCAGGGGACCUUCGGGCCUUGCGCUAUCAGAUGAGCCUAGGUCGGAUUAGCUAGUAGGUGAGGUAAUGGCUCACCUAGGCGACGAUCCGUAACUGGUCUGAGAGGAUGAUCAGUCACACUGGAACUGAGACACGGUCCAGACUCCUACGGGAGGCAGCAGUGGGGAAUAUUGGACAAUGGGCGAAAGCCUGAUCCAGCCAUGCCGCGUGUGUGAAGAAGGUCUUCGGAUUGUAAAGCACUUUAAGUUGGGAGGAAGGGCAGUAAGUUAAUACCUUGCUGUUUUGACGUUACCGACAGAAUAAGCACCGGCUAACUCUGUGCCAGCAGCCGCCGCAG
rnacentral:rRNA from 1 species